rnacentral:rRNA from 1 species
UGAACGCUAGCGGCAGGCCUAACACAUGCAAGUCGAGGGGUAACGAUGGUGCUUGCACCAGGCGACGACCGGCGCACGGGUGAGUAACGCGUAUGCAACCUGCCCUUAACUGGGGAAUAGCCCGGAGAAAUCCGGAUUAAUGUCCCAUAAUAUGUUUAUGUCACAUGGCAUUGACAUCAAAGCUCCGGCGGUUAAGGAUGGGCAUGCGUGCCAUUAGGUAGUUGGUGGGGUAACGGCCCACCAAGCCGGCGAUGGCUAGGGGGCCUGAGAGGGUGAUCCCCCACACUGGUACUGAGACACGGACCAGACUCCUACGGGAGGCAGCAGUGAGGAAUAUUGCGCAAUGGAGGCAACUCUGACGCAGCCAUGCCGCGUGCAGGAAGACGGCCCUACGGGUUGUAAACUGCUUUUGUACGGGAAUAAUCCCCGGUACGUGUACCGGGCUGAAUGUACCGUAAGAAUAAGCAUCGGCUAACUCC